UACAUGGGGGUGCAAACGUUUGCUCGGAAUUAUUGGGCGUAAAGCGCACGUAGGCGGUUCGUUAAGUCGGAUGUGAAAGCCCUCGGCUCAACUGAGGAAGUGCACCCGAAACUGGCGAGCUUGAGUACGAAAGAGGAUCGCGGAAUUCCCGGUGUAGAGGUGAAAUUUCGUAGAUAUCGGGGAGGAACGACCGGUGGCGAAGGCGGGUCUCUGGGCAGUAACUGACGCUGAGGAGCGAAAGCGUGGGGAGCGAACAGG
rnacentral:rRNA from 1 species